rnacentral:lncRNA from 1 species
AUGAGCUCACAGUCACACAGAAGGGCCCUUCUACGAGGAGAGCGCCAAGCACUGGAGAGAAAAACAUGGCAAAAAGGGAAGGUUAGCUGUGGAUCCGGGAAGUGGAGGUGUUGCCCGCCCCGCUGGAGGAAGCUGGAGUUUUUGUUUGUUGGUGCACAGAAGCUUGGGGUUGGGGUGACAGCUCAUGAUGUGGCAUUUUCUGAGUCACGACGCUCUCCACACGGAGGGUCACAUGCCCAAGGCAGAUGCAAGCACAGCAAGGCCAAGGUCAGGCUGAGCACAGAAAUGAAAGGGAAGCGGCUGCACGUGGGAAGACCCGGCAGGCAAAUAAGUCACACUCAUGUCCAGAGAGCUUCUGUCGUUCUUUGCGAGUCAUCGACCAACUGUGAAAGCAAGCGCAAAUCAAUCAAAUGCCAAGUCUCUCCAGGGGACUGCCGUGUCCCCAGAAUCCUAGGCUUUAAGAGACAGCCACUUCCUUGGAGAUUCUUGGGCUCAACUCUUUGGAAAGCUGAUCAUUGAGAGGUGAUGCUGCUUCUGAGGUCAUCCCAGCUGGCUGGUGAAUAAAAUGGGGUGUGUAUUUCUAACUUAAAGACUU